rnacentral:rRNA from 1 species
UACGUAGGGUGCAAGCGUUGUCCGGAAUUAUUGGGCGUAAAGAGCUCGUAGGCGGUUUGUCGCGUCGAAUGUGAAAACCCGGGGCUCAACCCCGGGCCUGCAUUCGAUACGGGCAGACUAGAGUUCGGUAGGGGAGUCUGGAAUUCCUGGUGUAGCGGUGAAAUGCGCAGAUAUCAGGAGGAACACCGGUGGCGAAGGCGGGACUCUGGGCCGAUACUGACGCUGAGACGCGAAAGCGUGGGGAGCGAACAGG